GACGAACCGUGCGAACGUUAUUCGGAAUCAUUGGGCUUAAAGCGCGUGUAGGCGGAUUCGUGCGUCUGUCGUUGAAAUCCCCCGCUCAACCGGGGAAGUGGCGCGGAUACGACGAGUCUGGAGGGGCAUAGGGGGACCUGGAACUUCCGGUGGAGCGGUGAAAUGUGUAGAGAUCGGGAGGAACACCGGUGGCGAAGGCGGGUCUCUGGGCAUCUCCUGACGCUGAGGCGCGAAAGCGUGGGGAGCAAACGGG
rnacentral:rRNA from 1 species